CCUACGGGGAGGCAGCAGUGAGGAAUAUUGGUCAAUGGACGAGAGUCUGAACCAGCCAAGUAGCGUGAAGGAUGACUGCCCUAUGGGGUGUAAACUUCUUUUAUAAAGGAAUAAAACGAGGCACGUGUGCCUUUUUGCAUGUACUUUAUGAAUAAGGAUCGGCUAACGCCGUGCCAGCAGCCGCGGUAAUACGGAGGAUGCGAGCGUUAUCCGGAUUUAAUGGGUUUAAAGGGUGCGUAGGCGGGCUUUUAAGUCAGCGGUAAAAAUUAGGGGCUAAACCCCGUCCGGUCGUUGAAACUGGGGGCCGUGAGUGGGCGAGAAGAAGGCGGAAGGCGUGGUGUAGCGGUGAAAUGCAUAGAUAGCACGCAGAACCCCGAUUGCGAAGGCAGCCUUCCGGCGCCCUACUGACGCUGAGGCACGAAAGUGCGGGGAUCGAACAGGAUUAGAUACCCUUGUAGUC
rnacentral:rRNA from 1 species